AUUGAACGCUGGCGGCAUGCUUUACACAUGCAAGUCGAACGGUAACAGGUCUUCGGAUGCUGACGAGUGGCGAACGGGUGAGUAAUACAUCGGAACGUGCCUAGUAGUGGGGGAUAACUACUCGAAAGAGUAGCUAAUACCGCAUGAGAUCUACGGAUGAAAGCAGGGGACCUUCGGGCCUGGUGCUACUAGAGCGGCGGAUGGCAGAUUAGGUAGUUGGUGGGGUAAAGGCUUACCAAGCCUGCGAUCUGUAGCUGGUCUGAGAGGACGACCAGCCACACUGGGACUGAGACACGGCCCAGACUCCUACGGGAGGCAGCAGUGGGGAAUUUUGGACAAUGGGCGAAAGCCUGAUCCAGCAAUGCCGCGUGCAGGAUGAAGGCCCUCGGGUUGUAAACUGCUUUUGUACGGAACGAAAAGCCUGGGGCUAAUAUCCCCGGGUCAUGACGGUACCGUAAGAAUAAGCACCGGCUAACUACGUGCCAGCCGCCGCCGUAA
rnacentral:rRNA from 1 species